rnacentral:rRNA from 1 species
UUGCCCCAGUAACGGCGAGUGAAGCGGCACAGCUCAAAUUUGAAAUCUGGCCCCUUUGGGGUCCGAGUUGUAAUUUGCAGAGGGAGCUUUUGGCGUCGGUCGUGGUCUAAGUUCCUUGGAACAGGACGUCACAGAGGGUGAGAAUCCCGUACGUGGCCGCCGGCCUUCGCCUUGUAAAGCCCCUUCGACGAGUCGAGUUGUUUGGGAAUGCAGCUCUAAAUGGGAGGUAAAUUUCUUCUAAAGCUAAAUACCCGCCAGAGACCGAUAGCGCACAAGUAGAGUGAUCGAAAGAUGAAAAGCACUUUGGAAAGAGAGUGAAAAAGCACGUGAAAUUGUUGAAAGGGAAGCGCUUGCAGCCAGACGUGCCCGCGGUUGAUCAUCCAGGCUCCAGCCUGGUGCACUCCUCCGCGGGCAGGCCAGCAUCAGUUCGGGCGGUCGGAUAAAGGCCUCUAUCACGUACCACCCCUCGGGGUGGCCUUAUAGGGGAGGCGCAACACGGCCAGCCCGGACUGAGGUUCCGCGCAUCUGCUAGGAUGCUGGCGUAAUGGCGGCAAGCGGCCCGUCUUGAAACACGGACCAAGGAGUCUAACAUCUAUGCGAGUGUUUGGGUGUCAAGCCCGAGCGCGCAAUGAAAGUGAACGGAGGUGGGAACCCUCACGGGUGCACCAUCGACCGAUCCUGAUGUCUUCGGAUGGAUUUGAGUAAGAGCAUAGCUGUUGGGACCCGAAAGAUGGUGAACUAUGCCUGAAUAGGGUGAAGCCAGAGGAAACUCUGGUGGAGGCUCGCAGCGGUUCUGACGUGCAAAUCGAUCGUCAAAUUUGGGCAUAGGGGCGAAAGACUA